ACGAACGUUGGCGGCGUGCCUAAUACAUGCAAGUCGAGCGAGAAAGCCGGGGCAACUCGGCGAGUACAGCGGCGGAAGGGUGAGCAAUACAUGGGCAACGUACCCCCCGGUCGGGGAUAACCCUCCGAAAGGUGGGCUAAUACCGGGAAUACCGGCGGGAGGCGGCAUCGCCUCCUGCUGAAAGACGAGAGUCGCCGGGGGAGCGGCCCAUGGCCUAUCAGCUAGUUGGCGGGGUGACGGCCCACCAAGGCUUUGACGGGUAGCCGGACUGAGAGGUUGAACGGCCACACGGGGACUGAGACACGGCCCCGACACCUACGGGUGGCAGCAGUAGGGAAUCUUGCGCAAUGGGCGAAAGCCUGACGCAGCGACGCCGCGUGGGGGAUGAAGGCCUUCGGGUUGUAAACCCCUUUCAUGAGGGAAGAACACUGACCUAACCUCAGGAAGAAGCACCGGCUAACUCCGU
rnacentral:rRNA from 1 species